AGGAAGAAGAAGGGAAAAGGGCCCUACAUUUGUAACACUGUUGUUGUUGUUGUUGUUAUUGUUUUACUGAUUCAGUAUCCCUUUUUCAUUAAAUAUUGAGAGUAUUGUUCUACAUGCCCAGGAAACUGAACUUUCUGAUGAGGAAGUUUGUUAGACUUGUUAUACUUGGCCUUUGCCACGGAGUGACCAAAGGCAUUGUAGCUGUUACGACAUCUCUGUUUCACCAGAAAGAUUUAUCAGGGUUGAAGCUGCAUUGGACUCUUUUCUUAAAAUUUGCACCACCAGAUAUUCUGGUGCUUAUUCGUUUUCUCGUCUGUCUUAGACCUCGUUGCAGCCUAGAUUUUCAUUCUGUUGUAUCAUUAGAAAUGGAUAAGAAAGUGAAAACUUUGACACACAGCAUACUUGGGGUUAUUUUUGUUUGUUUGUUUGUUUGUUUGUUUGUUUAGGGGGGCAGUGUUUGUUUUAUUUUAAACAAAAUGAGCAGUAUUCCAGAUCUGCAAGUGAAAAGAGUCUAUGCCUCAUUUCUUUGUCUGCCUUCCAUCUGCAAAUAUUCACUCAGUGUGUCUGUAACUCUACACUGAGGCUACACAAGAAAUUGCCUGCAUUUUUAGUUACAUUUUUUACUUAUUUUAUUUUAACAAACCUUUUAUCACAGUUCAUUGUGUAAAUUACUAGAAAUAUCUGCCGGUUACAUUAAUUUGCUUGCUUUCCUUAAUAAAGAAAGGGACAUCGGAUUAUUUGGUGUAUAAUGAACAAUGGUAAUGUACAAACCAGUAUCAUUGAGUGUGAGAGACCUGCAAAGGUUUCUGCUGAGGGAAUUGAGGGCAAUUGCAACCUUGCAUUAGCAGAAACUUAAUUACAACAUCACUUUGUUUUGACAGGAGCAAAGAUUUUUUUUCUCCCUCUGAAUGUUUGACGGCUCCUUUCAGUAUUAAAUGAGGUUGCAGGUAUAGCUGAAGGAAAUAUACCCGUGUCUCUAAAAAGUUACAUGGUAAUGGUUACCAAAACAAGGACUUUAUGGGCAGUUUACAAAGACUGCUGUGGCUGUAGAAGAGCAAAGAGUAAGCUCUAAUAUGAGUCUGUCCUCCUCAUCUACAAGAGAGUUUCCCCCAGGAAGAAAGACGUACUCGACUUCCAUUCCAGUCAGUUCUUCCCUGAAGAGUGGAUACAGACAGAAUCUGGCUCCCCAAGUACACAUGUUUCUUGUUUGCUUCUGGAUCUCUUCAGAGAAGGGAGAAGAGCAGAAGGAAGGGGUGUGAUGUGGUGUAACUUGAUGCUCAGCUUUACACGGUAGCCUACUACUGAUCAAAAUAUGGAAACAGUCACUGCUGGAAAAAAAAAGAAACCAAGAUUUGACUCUUCUGGUAAGACAACUCAGCUAUUGGAUGCAAUCCAAGUGGCAUGUGCAGGCCAUGAUCUGAGUGACAGAACAAGAAUGUUCUUUACCAAAGGGAAUUCGGAGGAUCCUUCAAAACCAGAAAAAGUAUGCUCUAGUUUCAGCCAUGUUCUUCAGAUUUUCUCUCCCAGUGGAACCAUCCCAGUUUAAAAAUAAAUGCGUCAGAAGGAAUUACAUUAGUUAAUAAUAGUUGUGUCUCCUCCUUCUCUCUCCUCUGCCCAGAACCAAUGACUAGCAAAGACAGUUUCCUAGGCUGACACCAAAGACUCCUUUAUGAAUGUUCGGUCAUAUAGUACCUUGGGGAGGAACUUUCUUAAGGAAGAAGUGUGAAACAGUUAAUCUCUAACAUUUCCUGUAACCAUUUCUGUUAGUGUCCUCUGCAAAUGCUACUGGUAUAUUUUCCUCCCACCCUCCUCACAAGCAUAUCUUUUUGAUGAGAUCAUGUGUCUGACACACUUCCGACCCAAUAUUGAGUACUUUUUUCCUCCAUCACUUUGGCAAAUCAUUUCUUUGGUAAUUUAUUAUUUAACCAGAUGUUUUAAGUUCGUAUAUCCACCAAAGGACGAAUUUUAUCAAGUUAUCUACUAAUAUUUGUGGUACUCCUUUCUGUGCUAAGAUUGCUGAUUUUGGCAACAUUCUACCUUUUUGUAUCAUUGCCUCCUUUAAGAUGAAUAAAUGUCCUGCUUCUUUA